UUAAGCAUUGCGCAUUAUUUAUAAAUUGAACAAUUCAUUCCAUUUGUAAAAUAAAAAUAGAAAAGAAUAUGGCUAAAAAUUUCAAGUUUAUUUAUGCUAUAAUUUUAUUUCUUUCCUUAGUUCAUCUUUCAAUGGUGGAGGCUGGCGUUGCAGGUAAUCCAUGUGAAACUGAUGAAGAUUGCCCUUUUCCUAAAUUUCAGAGUGUUAGCCCUAAUAUGGUGACUGUCUUUUAUAAGUGUAUUGAUAAAAGGUGUAUCCUGUUUCACGGGUUACCGCAAAGACCAUAGUUGCAAGGGAAAUAUCAAAGACAUAUAUAAUAUACUUUAUGGUUGAAUGUUGCAUGAGUGGUCAUUUAAGAUUUAUUCUUACAACCAAUACUUGUAUUUUUCAUAUAAUUUUUCGUUUUGUACGUAAUAAUGUAUUCCUUCAAAUUAUGACUUUGUUCUCUAAUAUUUUAAAAAUGAAAUAAAAAAAAGGUAGGAAAUAUUAUUAUAAUUAA